rfam:Lentisphaerae bacterium RIFOXYB12_FTLL_65_16 rifoxyb3_full_scaffold_15539, whole genome shotgun sequence.
GUCGCCGCGAGGCGGGGUGGGGAGCAACCCGAGGCGAACUGGCGGUCCGCAGGAUGACGAACUCGAUUCGGCGGGAUGUGGCGACGAGCCUGCUCAUUCGUGGCGAAGUCCGGAACUCGCCCGGCACGCUGGAGAUUGGCGCGUAAAGCGAUGCCGGGGCGCAUCACGUGGUUGGAGGCGGAACGCCGGGAAGUUGCGUCG